AACGAACGCUGGCGGCAGGCCUCAAACAUGCAAGUCUAGGGGGUGUAGCAAUACAUCACCGGCGGACGGGUGCGUAACGCGUGGGAAUAUACCUAUCGAUUCGGAACAACUGAGGGAAACUUCAGCUAAUACCGAAUACGUCCUAACGGAGAAAGAUUUAUCGUCGAUAGAUUAGCCCGCGUUCGAUUAGCUAGUUGGUGGGGUAACGGCCCACCAAGGCGACGAUCGAUAGCUGUUCUGAGAGGAAGAUCAGCCACACUGGGACUGAGACACGGCCCAGACUCCUACGGGAGGCAGCAGUUGGGAAUCUUGGACAAAUGGGGGGAAACCCUGAUCCAGCCAUGCCGCGUGAGUGAUGAAGGCCUCGG
rnacentral:rRNA from 1 species